AGUGGAUAAUGUGUGCUUGUUUAGUGGAUGUAUUGUGUAGUGCAUGCUGUGCUUGUGUAGUGGAUGAUGUGUGUUUGUGUAGUGGAUGAUGUGUGUUUGUGUAGUGGAUGCUGUGUGUGUGUGUGUGUGUGUAGUGGAUGCUGUAUUUGUGUCGUGGAUGAUGUGUAUGGUUGUGUAGUGGAUGCAGUUUGUGUGUUUAUGUGGUGGAUGAUGUGUGUGGUUGUGUAGUG